ensembl:lncRNA
GGAGGAGAACUUAUCACUGUAAGUGUUUUCAUUAUACACAAGACAGAAUAAAAAAUACAUGAACUAAGCUUUCAAUUCCAGACUGGAGGGAAGAAAAAUAAGACAGCCCGAAGCCCAAGGAAGCAGCAGAAAUAUGUGAAAAAAGGGGAAAGUGGCUGGUUUGGCAAGUAGAAAAACCAUGGAAUUGGUACGCCUGAGACCUUGAACGUCCCCGGGGAGCUGCCUCUGGGGCUGGACCACACGGCCUUGGAGCCUCCCCAGUGCCCGCCGCCCAUGGGCUGCCACGUUCCUGAGGACCUGCGGUCUCCAUACUCAUUGACACUGCAGCAAGGACCCUGACGAGAUGACAGCCGCCUCCUCUCUUCCUGCUGGUUUCGGGGCUGGGGGAGGGGGCACCGCUAGAACCGGGAGAGUGACUCUCGAGCUAUUUUGUACCCAGUCAGGUGCAUCUCAGAGAAGGCGUUUGCUUUAUCGCUGGAGGAGCAGGCUUGGUGUUCACUUUUCUCUGCUGGGAGAAGGGGCACCAUCCAGCCCAGAGCCUAGAGAAGCGGAGAAACAGCCAUCAUGUGGCCCACAUAUGAGGGAGGUUUCAAAGUCCUGUUCUGAAGGAAGCCACCAUCAGGAGGCCAGGACCUGUCUGACUCACCCUCUGUGCUGUUAUUCUGAUGCAACUUCAUUCAAAGUCAGUGUCAGGAGCUCUGGGUCCUGAGGAUGCCCUCGAUGCUCCCUUGACUUCAGUGACCCCAAAUGCUCUUUUCUUUAAAAACGUUGCAAAUACAGGAUUGUUGGAUUUGAACCAGUGUCCACAGGUGCUGGACACGGGUGUCAGGAUGCCACAGCAUCUGGCCACUUUCUCCAGCGUGAUCACGGCAGGGGAUGGGAGUUUGUGUGGGUGUAGAUGGCCUGCCACGGGGUUGCAAAGAGGUGGACACGACUUAGCAACUGAACAACAACAAAAAGGCAGCCUGCCACCUGCGCCCCCAGCUGCCCGGCAGAGGCCAGCUCCACUCCGUCUCUUCAGCCCCACUUGUGUGUGGCUUUCUGAUUCGCAUCUUUGCAUCCUGGGGUUUCCCCUAAGGACUGGAGGAAUUACGAUGGGAGCCUUGCAGGCCGGUGAACCAGGAGGGUCUCUGGGACUCCAGCCAGUGCCAGCUUCAAGGCUUGGCCUCGCCAACACAGUUGAUUAGAAGCCCUCCCACAGGCACCACUGUCCUUGACCAGGGGGGCCGGGGGCACCGGGCCAGUCUCCUUUUGGCACUGAAGCUGGAGACAGUGAGAGGUCAAGGACAGGCAGAAAGAGCAGCCCUGUCGCUCCGUCCACGGUGACCUCACUUUCCAGAUGCCUCCACAGUGUGGGCAGCGGAGUGAGACCCAGGACAGUGGCCAGUGGACCCCAGGACGCAUGGUGCCACCCUGUCUCCUGCCCGCAGCCUUCAGGCCCGUCGGGGGCCUGGAGGCGGCGGGUCUGGGCUUGGCGCUGCGCCGGUGGGAAGGACCACG